rnacentral:lncRNA from 1 species
CCGGGGCGCGACACCGGCUUUUGGGGCGCAAACCCCAAGUUUAAGGGGGGCCUUCCCCCUGGCGUAUCGUGGUGGCGUGGAAAGGAACCUGAAAGCGGAGAAUUAGGGAGCUUGGGAGGUGGAACCGGGGGGAAAAAACCUGCCAACCGGGAUUUGAUACAAUUCAGCCCUUUCGGGCUUUUGAAGGAAGGCGAUUUAAACGGGAUUUCGAUAAAAAACCCGAUCGUUUUGGCUUUUGUCCUCCCUCUCUCGUGCUUUCUUGUCACGUGAUGAUUCUACUUUAUUUCUUAAAAAAUAUGAAAUGACGCAUGUGUUCCGCAGCAUCCUUCACCUAGUGCAGCCUAGUGGCCAGUGGAGAGAAGGAUAGCCGACGGGGCUUCCCACGAGGUCCUUGCGGGCCGCAGGGCUCCUUGCAAAGUUGCCACCCGGCUGGCAAAAAUAAAGUGUGUGCCAAGACUGGGCUGGCGAUUGUCACCAACCAUUAAGAGGUCCUCGUGACUGUAGUAGGAAAGCGUCCUUUUUAAAAGCCCUGGUCCAGAGCUCGUUAUAAAUGCAUGCAACUUUGCCAGUGACAGGCCGGGCAAGCAAAAAGGAGAACUUGGGAGUUGCAAAAGCCUUGUGAGGCCAACAACAGCUUGUGUUUUACGUGGAUAGAUAUGCCACGUUUGGGGGUUUUUUUGUUUGUUUUUUGCGCCUCACAAUCUUUACUUUUACUGGAAAGAAAUAGAUAAAAUUUGCAGAAGAAUCAGUGAGUAGAAAUUGCCAGAAGAGAAUUUUUUUUUCCCCUGAAGUCUGUAACGUUAGACAAUUUCAGUAGGCAGUUCGCGUUAAGUGGGGGAAAUUUCAGCAGAAGCUAAUACAUCGCUGUAGACAUCCUUAAAGACACGUAUUGUGGAAGGCAAGAUCCAACACGAAGCUGAAGAAUGCUUUGUGCUUGUAUUUCAUUUUCCAGAAGGCCGAUGACAAGUAUACACAUCAUCUGCCUGCUUAGGUAUUUAUUACUGCGGAAAGUGAAGGAAACCGAAAACCAACUAGUCCAAAUGACUUGGUCAAUGCCGUUUAGUCAGGACUCAUACCUCAUCAAUUUGUGCUUCAGUUUAGCUGUGAACUCGGGUGAUGCCGCCCUGCCCAGAAAUCUCCCAGAAUGGUAAGGGUCAAAUAAAUUCUGGAGUGAAAGAUAAUAUCA